UGGGGAAUAUUGGGCAAUGGGCGAAAGCCUGACCCAGCAACGCCGCGUGAAGGAAGAAGGUCUUUGGAUUGUAAACUUUUGUCCUAUGGGAAGAAGGAAGUGACGGUACCAUGGGAGGAAGCCCCGGCUAACUACGUGCCAGCAGCCGCGGUAAUACGUAGGGGGCGAGCGUUGUCCGGAAUUACUGGGCGUAAAGGGCGCGCAGGCGCCGAUCAAGUUAGAUGUGAAAUACCUGGGCUUAACCCUGGGAACUGCAUUUAAAACUGGUUGGCUAGGAGUGCAGGAGAGGGAAGCGGAAUUCCUAGCGUAGCGGUGAAAUGCGUAGAUAUUAGGAGGAACACCAGUGGCGAAGGCGGCUUUCUGGACUGUAACUGACGCUGAGGCGCGAAAAGCGUGGGGAGCGAACAGGAUUAGAUACC
rnacentral:rRNA from 1 species